UAGAUCUGCCCCUAAACACUCCCUGAAUAACUACGAGCGCAGAACAUGCUGCUGGAACGCUUUCCUAACCUAACACGAACGCGCACAUUCCCUUCCGCAGUGAAUUUGUUAAACCUGCUUGUUGACCUCUGCGAGGAUUUACAUCGCUCUGAUCGCGUUUUCUUUUGAAACUUCCGUAUGUAAGGAGUUCAGCGACUUUGUUUGUCGUUGUGCUGUACUGGCUUGUAGUAUCAGAGAGUGCGAGAAAUGGUGUAGUAUCCACUUAACUUCGCCUACAGUUAAGGUGGAGGUGCACUACACCGGACUGGGUAAUCUCACUCGAUUCUGCGGACGUAAAUUACUUGCGAACAACACAUACUCAGGACCAGAAGAAUGUGGCAGUUAUAGGUGCUUGUUUAAAACUCAACACACCGUCAACGCGUCAUCCCGUGUUCCAGGGUUUGUGAAUUAUAAAUUCUAUUCAGAAAGGCAUCGCCUGUGCGUUUAAAGGGAAACGCAGAUCCUCUAAGCACAACAUGGGCAGCACAGUGAUGGACACUAAAAGGAAGGAUGUUCCGAAGAAGAACUCUAAGAAGAAAAGAACGCUUCGGUUAAACAUGCCAGACCUGAGCUCCUUCGCCUUGCCCCUCCUGGAUGGAGAGGGGGAGCGAGCUGACAAAGACUGCACACGCAAGAGGGAAGAAAGCUGCUACUCAGCCAGCCCCACCAGAGGCUUCUUCACGAGGGGUCCGGGUGGGCGGCCCCCCAGCCCUCGCUCCGCCCCCGUCAGGCCCAAAUCCAUCCCCAGCUCCUCCCCCAAAACCAUCUUCCCCUACCCCGUCCAGCAGGAGUCCUCUCCCAAGUCCCCCCACCGCAUGAGCUUCAGCGGGAUCUUCCGCACCUCCUCCAAGGACUCCACCUCCUCCAGCACCCCCUCCUCCUCACCCUCCCCCAUUGGCAUCAAACUGUUCUCUCGCACCAGGAAAGCUUCAGGGCUUUCCACUCCGCCCACGACUCCCACCCAGACGACCAAACAUCCCUCUUUCCCCCCGGACACCCCCAGAAAUGAGCCAGAGGGCCAAGAGGUGCGUGCGCGCACCUCAUCCCUGCUCCUGGACACCGGACAGCGGCUGGGACUCCCCUCCGCCAAGCCGCCCAUCCCCUCCGCCGCCCCCACGUCUACCUCACGACCCAUAGCUGCCAUCUCGAAAGCACAGGUCUACGGUUUAGCUGAAGGCAUGCUUGAGAAACUUGAACUAGACACCGAAGCUGCUGAAGAACCUGAGAGUGAUAUAUAUAUGCGGUUCAUGAAGUCCCACAAGUGCUACGACAUUGUCCCAACCAGCUCCAAGCUAGUCGUCUUUGACACUGCAUUGCAAGUUAAGAAGGCCUUCUUUGCCCUGGUGGCCAAUGGGGUCCGAGCAGCUCCUCUUUGGGAGACAAAAAAGCAGAGCUUUGUCGGAAUGUUAACCAUCACAGACUUCAUCAUCAUACUGCAACGAUACUACAAAUCACCUCUGGUGCAAAUAUAUGAGUUGGAAGAACACAAGAUUGAAACGUGGAGAGAUCUCUACCUUCAAGAAACAUUUAAGCCAUUAGUAAACAUAUCACCUGAUGCAAGUGUUUUCGACGCGGUGUACUCGCUGAUCAAGAACAGGAUUCACCGGCUGCCCGUCAUUGACCCGGUGACCGGAAACGCACUUUACAUCCUCACACACAAGAGGAUCCUCAAGUUCCUCCAGCUCUUCGUGUGUGAGAUGCCAAAGCCGGCCUUCAUGAAGCAGACCCUGGAGGAGCUGGGGAUCGGAACCUACAGCGACAUCGCCUUCAUCCACCCCGACACGCCCAUCAUCAAAGCGCUCAACAUCUUCGUGGAGAGGAGGGUGUCUGCACUCCCCGUCGUGGACGAGUCAGGGAAAGUUGUUGAUAUUUAUUCCAAAUUUGAUGUCAUAAACCUGGCGGCGGAAAAAACGUACAACAACCUGGACAUCACGGUGACCCAGGCGCUGAAACACCGCUCGCAGUACUUCGAGGGAGUCAUGAAGUGCAACAGGCUGGAGACGCUGGAGACCAUCGUGGACAGGAUAGUCAAAGCAGAGGUCCAUCGGCUGGUGGUGGUGGACGAGAGCGGCAGCAUCGAGGGCAUCAUCUCUCUGUCGGACAUCCUGCAGGCGCUGGUGCUCAGCCCCGCAGGUAUAGACGCGCAACAUUCCUAACCCCACCCCCCCUUUCCCGGGAACCUGACCUCUGACCCCCGCCCCCAGGUCCGCAGGUUUCGGCAGAAAGGACAGCGAGACAGAGUGACGCUGCUGAGGGGGUCUUUAAGGCGCACAGUGAGCUGGGCUGCACUGGUACCCCACUAGGCCCCUGUCCCAAAUCGUCCAACCCGGGAGAUGAAGAGUUGGGCUUCACUGGACUAAUGGCCAGUGGGG